rnacentral:rRNA from 1 species
AACGAACGCUGGCGGCAUGCCUAACACAUGCAAGUCGAACGAGAUCUUCGGGUCUAGUGGCGCACGGGUGCGUAACGCGUGGGAAUCUGCCCUUUGGUUCGGAAUAACAGUUGGAAACGACUGCUAAUACCGGAUGAUGACGAAAGUCCAAAGAUUUAUCGCCAGAGGAUGAGCCCGCGUAGGAUUAGCUAGUUGGUGUGGUAAAGGCGCACCAAGGCGACGAUCCUUAGCUGGUCUGAGGGGAUGAUCAGCCACACUGGGACUGAGACACGGCCCAGACUCCUACGGGAGGCAGCAGUGGGGAAUAUUGGACAAUGGGCGAAAGCCUGAUCCAGCAAUGCCGCGUGAGUGAUGAAGGCCUUAGGGUUGCAAAGCUCUUUUACCCGGGAUGAUAAUGACAGUACCGGGAGAAUAAGCUCCGGCUAACUCCGUGCCAGCCGCCGCGGUAA